AGUGAACGCUGGCGGCAGGCCUAACACAUGCAAGUCGAACGGUAGCACAGAGGAGCUUGCUCCUUGGGUGACGAGUGGCGGACGGGUGAGGAAUAUAUCGGAAUCUACCCAAUCGUGGGGGAUAACGUAGGGAAACUUACGCUAAUACCGCAUACGAUCUGAGGAUGAAAGCGGCGGACCGCCAGGCGUCGCGCGAUUGGAUGAGCCGAUAUCCGAUUAGCUAGUUGGUAAGGUAAAAGCUUACCAAGGCGACGAUCGGUAGCUGGUCUGAGAGGAUGAUCAGCCACACUGGAACUGAGACACGGUCCAGACUCCUACGGGAGGCAGCAGUGGGGAAUAUUGGACAAUGGGCGCAAGCCUGAUCCAGCCAUGCCGCGUGUGUGAAGAAGGCCUUCGGGUUGUAAAGCACUUUUGUUGGGAAAGAAAAGCAGCCGGUUAAUACCCGGUUGUUCUGACGGUACCCAAAGAAUAAGCACCGGCUAACUUCGUGCCAGCAGCCGCCGUAACAC
rnacentral:rRNA from 1 species